GGGUUGUGAGGUUAAGCGACUAAGCGUACACGGUGGAUGCCCUGGCAGUCAGAGGCGAUGAAGGACGUGCUAAUCUGCGAUAAGCGUCGGUAAGGUGAUAUGAACCGUUAUAACCGGCGAUUUCCGAAUGGGGAAACCCAGUGUGUUUCGACACACUAUCAUUAACUGAAUCCAUAGGUUAAUGAGGCGAACCGGGGGAACUGAAACAUCUAAGUACCCCGAGGAAAAGAAAUCAACCGAGAUUCCCCCAGUAGCGGCGAGCGAACGGGGAGCAGCCCAGAGCCUGAAUCAGUGUGUGUGUUAGUGGAAGCGUCUGGAAAGGCGCGCGAUACAGGGUGACAGCCCCGUACACAAAAAUGCACAUGCUGUGAGCUCGAUGAGUAGGGCGGGACACGUGGUAUCCUGUCUGAAUAUGGGGGGACCAUCCUCCAAGGCUAAAUACUCCUGACUGACCGAUAGUGAACCAGUACCGUGAGGGAAAGGCGAAAAGAACCCCGGCGAGGGGAGUGAAAAAGAACCUGAAACCGUGUACGUACAAGCAGUGGGAGCCUCUUUAUGGGGUGACUGCGUACCUUUUGUAUAAUGGGUCAGCGACUUAUAUUCUGUAGCAAGGUUAACCGAAUAGGGGAGCCGAAGGGAAACCGAGUCUUAACUGGGCGUUAAGUUGCAGGGUAUAGACCCGAAACCCGGUGAUCUAGCCAUGGGCAGGUUGAAGGUUGGGUAACACUAACUGGAGGACCGAACCGACUAAUGUUGAAAAAUUAGCGGAUGACUUGUGGCUGGGGGUGAAAGGCCAAUCAAACCGGGAGAUAGCUGGUUCUCCCCGAAAGCUAUUUAGGUAGCGCCUCGUGAAUUCAUCUCCGGGGGUAGAGCACUGUUUCGGCAAGGGGGUCAUCCCGACUUACCAACCCGAUGCAAACUGCGAAUACCGGAGAAUGUUAUCACGGGAGACACACGGCGGGUGCUAACGUCCGUCGUGAAGAGGGAAACAACCCAGACCGCCAGCUAAGGUCCCAAAGUCAUGGUUAAGUGGGAAACGAUGUGGGAAGGCCCAGACAGCCAGGAUGUUGGCUUAGAAGCAGCCAUCAUUUAAAGAAAGCGUAAUAGCUCACUGGUCGAGUCGGCCUGCGCGGAAGAUGUAACGGGGCUAAACCAUGCACCGAAGCUGCGGCAGCGACGCUUAUGCGUUGUUGGGUAGGGGAGCGUUCUGUAAGCCUGUGAAGGUGUGCUGUGAGGCAUGCUGGAGGUAUCAGAAGUGCGAAUGCUGACAUAAGUAACGAUAAAGCGGGUGAAAAGCCCGCUCGCCGGAAGACCAAGGGUUCCUGUCCAACGUUAAUCGGGGCAGGGUGAGUCGACCCCUAAGGCGAGGCCGAAAGGCGUAGUCGAUGGGAAACAGGUUAAUAUUCCUGUACUUGGUGUUACUGCGAAGGGGGGACGGAGAAGGCUAUGUUGGCCGGGCGACGGUUGUCCCGGUUUAAGCGUGUAGGCUGGUUUUCCAGGCAAAUCCGGAAAAUCAAGGCUGAGGCGUGAUGACGAGGCACUACGGUGCUGAAGCAACAAAUGCCCUGCUUCCAGGAAAAGCCUCUAAGCAUCAGGUAACAUCAAAUCGUACCCCAAACCGACACAGGUGGUCAGGUAGAGAAUACCAAGGCGCUUGAGAGAACUCGGGUGAAGGAACUAGGCAAAAUGGUGCCGUAACUUCGGGAGAAGGCACGCUGAUAUGUAGGUGAAGUCCCUCGCGGAUGGAGCUGAAAUCAGUCGAAGAUACCAGCUGGCUGCAACUGUUUAUUAAAAACACAGCACUGUGCAAACACGAAAGUGGACGUAUACGGUGUGACGCCUGCCCGGUGCCGGAAGGUUAAUUGAUGGGGUUAGCGGUAACGCGAAGCUCUUGAUCGAAGCCCCGGUAAACGGCGGCCGUAACUAUAACGGUCCUAAGGUAGCGAAAUUCCUUGUCGGGUAAGUUCCGACCUGCACGAAUGGCGUAAUGAUGGCCAGGCUGUCUCCACCCGAGACUCAGUGAAAUUGAACUCGCUGUGAAGAUGCAGUGUACCCGCGGCAAGACGGAAAGACCCCGUGAACCUUUACUAUAGCUUGACACUGAACAUUGAGCCUUGAUGUGUAGGAUAGGUGGGAGGCUUUGAAGUGUGGACGCCAGUCUGCAUGGAGCCGACCUUGAAAUACCACCCUUUAAUGUUUGAUGUUCUAACGUUGACCCGUAAUCCGGGUUGCGGACAGUGUCUGGUGGGUAGUUUGACUGGGGCGGUCUCCUCCUAAAGAGUAACGGAGGAGCACGAAGGUUGGCUAAUCCUGGUCGGACAUCAGGAGGUUAGUGCAAUGGCAUAAGCCAGCUUGACUGCGAGCGUGACGGCGCGAGCAGGUGCGAAAGCAGGUCAUAGUGAUCCGGUGGUUCUGAAUGGAAGGGCCAUCGCUCAACGGAUAAAAGGUACUCCGGGGAUAACAGGCUGAUACCGCCCAAGAGUUCAUAUCGACGGCGGUGUUUGGCACCUCGAUGUCGGCUCAUCACAUCCUGGGGCUGAAGUAGGUCCCAAGGGUAUGGCUGUUCGCCAUUUAAAGUGGUACGCGAGCUGGGUUUAGAACGUCGUGAGACAGUUCGGUCCCUAUCUGCCGUGGGCGCUGGAGAACUGAGGGGGGCUGCUCCUAGUACGAGAGGACCGGAGUGGACGCAUCACUGGUGUUCGGGUUGUCAUGCCAAUGGCACUGCCCGGUAGCUAAAUGCGGAAGAGAUAAGUGCUGAAAGCAUCUAAGCACGAAACUUGCCCCGAGAUGAGUUCUCCCUGACUCCUUGAGAGUCCUGAAGGAACGUUGAAGACGACGACGUUGAUAGGCCGGGUGUGUAAGCGCAGCGAUGCGUUGAGCUAACCGGUACUAAUGAACCGUGAGGCUUAACCUUACAACGCCGAAG
rnacentral:rRNA from 2 species